rnacentral:rRNA from 1 species
GACGAACGCUGGCGGCGUGCCUAAUACAUGCAAGUCGAACGCACAGUUUAUACCGUAGCUUGCUACACCAUAGACUGUGAGUUGCGAACGGGUGAGUAACGCGUAGGUAACCUGCCUGGUAGCGGGGGAUAACUAUUGGAAACGAUAGCUAAUACCGCAUAAUAUUAAUUAUUGCAUGAUAAUUAAUUGAAAGGUGCAAUUGCACCACUACCAGAUGGACCUGCGUUGUAUUAGCUAGUAGGUGAGGUAACGGCUCACCUAGGCGACGAUACAUAGCCGACCUGAGAGGGUGAUCGGCCACACUGGGACUGAGACACGGCCCAGACUCCUACGGGAGGCAGCAGUAGGGAAUCUUCGGCAAUGGACGAAAGUCUGACCGAGCAACGCCGCGUGAGGGAAGAAGGUUGUCGGAUCGUAAAGCUCUGUUGUAAGAGAAGAACGGGUGUGAGAGUGGAAAGUUCACACUGUGACGGUAUCUUACCAGAAAGGGACGGCUAACUACGUG